GGCCCCUUCGUUUAUCGGUUAGGACGCCAGGUUUUCAUCCUGGUAGGAGGGGUUCGAUUCCCCUACGGGCUA
rnacentral:tRNA from 1 species